UGGAUUGAGAGUAGAUUAAUCUCUAGUAUGAUGCAUUCAAUCUUUUUAAUUAUUACUUCUUCUACUUAACUCGUUCUUCUACUAAUACGUUUUUCUUUUUAGAAAUAAAAAUGCCAUUUAUGUCUGCCUGUCACCACAUAGAAAGCUUUCCGAAAGACACAAUUCCUUGGUGAACCUAUGGUACUGCAUCAUAAAAGCGGAAGAAGGAGGUGAAAUCAACUUGCCGACUGUUUAGCUGUGGUAAAAGCUAUCAAAUCCAUGAAUCCAGGAACCUAUUCAAUUCUCAAGAACAUCUCUGUCAUAAUGUGGUCGGACCCGUUCACCAAGGAAGGCACAUAGAAGACUGGCUUAUGAUGGCGAAAGACUUUUGAAGGCGGUUACCUUGAUUGGGAUCAUAUCUAUUAAACCUUCGAAUCCUGCACUCAAAAGUAAAUGUGAUACCAUUCAAAUGGAAUAAGAUUGAUUUGAAUUGGAAUUUGUUAUUCCUGUAUCAUAGUGCAUUUUUCUACUAGUUACCCUACGUAUUGUACAUUAUUGUAAUAAAGCACUAGCUGUUCAUAGUAGAAGUCUUUGAAAU
rnacentral:lncRNA from 1 species